CUUCAGUAGAACUGCUAAUGAGAAGCGUAAUUGAGUGUUUUGAGUUCAUCUGCUUUCAGUUAUCCUUUGCAGGUGCUAAUGAACAGUGAAGUGGUCAAAAGGCUGUCAGCCAAAGAGAGCGGUAGGAGUCAAAGCAAGACAUGGAUAACACCAGAAACUGGAUAAUCAGCCUCAAAAUGGGUCAGCACAAGGUCUAGAAGCACAGAGGAAUGGCUCAAACACACUCUGGAUGAUGAUCAGGGAAGACUUCCUGGAGGAGGCAAUCCUUGAAUCUCUG
ensembl:lncRNA